CCCUGGCUGGCUCAGUCAGUGAAGCAUGUGAUUCUUGAUCUUGGGGUUGUGAGUUCAAGCCUCACGUUGGGGG
rnacentral:tRNA from 1 species